UCUCCGUUGGUGAACCAGCGGAGGGAUCAUUACUGAGUGAGGGUCUCCGGGCCCGACCUCCAACCCUUUUGUGAACCACCUCGUUGCUUCGGGGGCGACCCUGCCGUUCGCGGCGCGGCGCCCCCGGGGGAAAUCAAACACUGCAUUCUCUGCGUCGGAGUAUUAGUAAAUCUAAUCAAAACUUUCAACAACGGAUCUCUUGGUUCUGGCAUCGAUGAAGAACGCAGC
rnacentral:misc_RNA from 1 species